AGUGAACGCUGGCGGUAGGCCUAACACAUGCAAGUCGAACGGCAGCACAGUAAGAGCUUGCUCUUACGGGUGGCGAGUGGCGGACGGGUGAGGAAUACAUCGGAAUCUACUUUUUCGUGGGGGAUAACGUAGGGAAACUUACGCUAAUACCGCAUACGACCUACGGGUGAAAGCAGGGGAUCUUCGGACCUUGCGCGAUUGAAUGAGCCGAUGUCGGAUUAGCUAGUUGGCGGGGUAAAGGCCCACCAAGGCGACGAUCCGUAGCUGGUCUGAGAGGAUGAUAGGCCACACUGGAACUGAGACACGGUCCAGACUCCUACGGGAGGCAGCAGUGGGGAAUAUUGGACAGUGGGCGCAAGCCUGAUCCAGCCAGACCGCGUGGGUGAAGAAGGCCUUCGGGUUGUAAAGCCCUUUUGUUGGGAGAGAAAAGCAGCAGGUUAAUACCCCGCUGUUCUGACGGUACCCAAAGAAUAAGCACCGGCUAACUUCGUG
rnacentral:rRNA from 1 species